GAUGAACGCUGGCGGCGUGCCUAAUACAUGCAAGUCGAGCGAACAGACGAGGAGCUUGCUCCUCUGACGUUAGCGGCGGACGGGUGAGUAACACGUGGAUAACCUACCUAUAAGACUGGGAUAACUUCGGGAAACCGGAGCUAAUACCGGAUAACAUGUUGAACCGCAUGGUUCAACAGUGAAAGACGGUUUUGCUGUCACUUAUAGAUGGAUCCGCGUCGCAUUAGCUAGUUGGUAAGGUAACGGCUUACCAAGGCAACGAUGCGUAGCCGACCUGAGAGGGUGAUCGGCCACACUGGAACUGAGACACGGUCCAGACUCCUACGGGAGGCAGCAGUAGGGAAUCUUCCGCAAUGGGCGAAAGCCUGACGGAGCAACGCCGCGUGAGUGAAGAAGGUCUUCGGAUCGUAAAACUCUGUUAUUAGGGAAGAACAAAUGUGUAAGUAACUAUGCACGUCUUGACGGUACCUAGUCAGAAAGCCACGGCUAACUACGUG
rnacentral:rRNA from 1 species